rnacentral:rRNA from 1 species
ACGGAGGAUGCAAGCGUUAUCCGGAUUCAUUGGGUUUAAAGGGUGCGCAGGCGGAAUAAUAAGUCAGCGGUGAAAGCCUACAGCUUAACUGUAGAACUGCCAUUGAUACUGUUAUUCUUGAGUGUUGUUGAGGUAGGCGGAAUGUGUCAUGUAGCGGUGAAAUGCUUAGAUAUGACACAGAACACCGAUCGCGAAGGCAGCUUACCAAGCAACAACUGACGCUCAUGCACGAAAGCGUGGGGAUCAAACAG